GCCGGCAACCAGAGGCGGGGCCGAGGCAACAGCCGGGGCGCUGUCCGCAGUGGGGAUGGCGACGCGGACCACGGCUGCCCCUCUGCCCACCUCAGUGGGCCUGUGCAUCUGGGCUGCCUCGCCUGCAGGUUUCCGCUCAGUUCAGGGGAGGCGGGUGCGGGAGGGAGCAGAGCCCGUCAGACCCCACAGGGACACGUUACAGGCACGUUGCCACUGAUGCCCUCAAAAUACGCCUUCCUUCAAGCACACUCAUCCCAUCACCUUGCCCCUGUCUGGAGCAGCUCUGGAGCCCUCCUUUGCAAGUCUCUGCGGCUGCCUCCUGUUUUGAAUCAAUGGAAAACACAGCAGUUUCUGUCGAGUAUAAAUGUUGCAGUGAGUCCUCGUCACCUUGUUCACCGGAUCUGGCACCACGUGACUCUCAGUCCUCCCCAGAGCCAAAAUGAUCACGAAAGGGAAACGUUUUAAAUCGACUCAGGCCAUCCAGGCAGCCAGGACAGCACAACUACGGGCAAUUACAGACGAGGCCUCCAGAGCUGCUGCAGACAGUGCCAAGUGAGACGCCUGCUGCUACCACACACGCCUGCACCAUCAACAUACAAAGAGAAACGGCUUACUGCACCUCAGUCUCAAAGGCUGUGUUCAGGACUGGGUGGCCCUGCAGCCAUGGGGCCCGGGACAAGGCACCAGGACAUCAAAACUGCUCACCUCACAGUGGCCAGGAAGCAACGGAGAGGAGACGGCCAGCGUCUCACGGUCCCUUUCAGGAGCGCCCCUUGAUCAACACAAGCUCUCCAGGCACCACCUCAAAGGUUUUAGCACUUGCAGCAGUGCCACACUGAGUCCAUCCUCUAAUCUCGGGUCUCAGGGGACAUUCCAGAUCCAAACUGUCCAUCUGCCACCUGCUCCUGCAGGGACCCUUGCCAGCCAGGCCUGGCCUCACCGAGAGCUCUGCUCCUGGCCCCUGAGGGCUCCAUGGCCUCAGCAGGGACCAGGCUGCUCCUGCCCCCGAGGCUCAGCUGCCUGUCCUCGCUUGCAAGCUCAGGACAGUGUGCUGAAGGCCCCGGUGUCACUCCUGAGCUGGGCCCCCACUCACUGGGCAUCUACUGAAGAAAACUCAGCCCCUCCCACAUCAACCUCCUGAGGAAGGCGACUUCCACGCAGAUGCCGCCAACGGCAGUGCUUGCCUGCGGUGUCUCUGUGUGGAGGCCUUGGCUACCUCUUCCAACAGCUCUGAGGGCAGGCGGCACGGAUUCCAUGCUUGCUGAGGGUGACAUGCUAGGACUGGAAUGCGCCCACCUGCCUCCUGACCCUGACCUCUGCUGCUCUACUCUGUCCAGAUGAUUCAGAGGAGCGAAAUGUCCGGCACCUCCAGGGAAAUUUGCCUUUUUUUUCUUUUUAUAAAAUUCAG
rnacentral:lncRNA from 1 species